CUACGGGAGGCAGCAGUGAGGAAUAUUGGUCAAUGGGCGGGAGCCUGAACCAGCCAAGCAGCGUGAGGGAAGAAGGUACAGCGUAUCGUAAACCUCUUUGGUCAGGGAACAAAGGCGGGGACUAGUCCCCGGAUGAGGGUACCUGAAGAAAAAGCAUCGGCUAAGUACGUGCAAGCAGCCGCGGUAAUACGGAGGAUGCGAGAGUUAUCCGGGUUUAUUGGGGUGAAAGGGUGCGCAGGCGGCCUGUUAAGUCAGCGGUAAAAGCCCUGGGCUCACACCCGGCGAGCCGUUGCAACUGGCGGGCUGGAGUUGGAGAGAAGUACGCGGAAGGCGCGGUGUAUCGGUGAAAUGCUUAGAUUACGCGCAGAACCCCGCUUGCGAAGGCAGCGUACCGGCUCCACACUGACGCUGAGGCACGAAAGCGUGGGUAUCGAACAGGAUUAGAUACCCGUGUAGUC
rnacentral:rRNA from 1 species